GCUACCGUGGCGCAACUGGUUAGCGCGUGCGGCUGUUAACCGCAAGGUUGGUGGUUCAAGUCCACCCGGUAGCG